rnacentral:rRNA from 1 species
GACGAACGCUGGCGGCGUGCUUAACACAUGCAAGUCGAACGGAAAGGCCCUGCUUUUUUGGGGGGCUCGAGUGGCGAACGGGUGAGUAACACGUGAGUAACCUGCCCUUGACUGUGGGAUAACUUCAGGAAACUGGGGCUAAUACCGGAUAGGAGCUCCCGCCGCAUGGUGGGGGUUGGAAAUUUUCGGCGGUUGGGGAUGGACUCGCGUCUUAUCAGCUUGUUGGUGGGGUAGUGGCUUACCAAGGCUUUGACGGGUAGCCGGCCUGAGAGGGUGACCGGCCACAUUGGGACUGAGAUACGGCCCAGACUCCUACGGGAGGCAGCAGUGGGGAAUAUUGCACAAUGGGCGGAAGCCUGAUGCAGCAACGCCGCGUGCGGGAUGACGGCCUUCGGGUUGUAAACCGCUUUCGCCUGUGACGAAGCGAUAGUGACGGUACUGGGUAAAGAAGCACCGGCUAACUACGUG